CGUCCCUCUCUGCCCCGCUGGCUCUGACCCUGCCCCUCAUCAGCGCAGUGGGAUCCUGCCAGAAAAUUACAGACUGAGCCCCUCCUCGGAGAAGUAAGAUAUCGGGCCUCCAGUCUGCAGCUGUCACUCAAACACGGCAGAGAGCAAAGGGCGUGUGUGGAAUUCGAAGGCAAAAGUCACUCCGAUCAAAUGUGAGCGUUUGUCAACAGCCCGGCCCUGAGCUCAGCUUCCGGAGGCAGCGCAGGCGGCCGGCGAGCUGAGGUCCCAAACCCCACAGCAAACAAGUGUCCGUCCCUCCCACGCGGCCGCACCCUUCCGGAGCCUUCUGCGUGUCUGUGGGGAGCAGCUGCGUUCCGGCUCAGCUCCGAGGCCGAGCGCGUCACAGGCCUCAGGACCGGCCGGGUGCCCCGUGGAGCCAGCGGCGACCCUCUCCCUCCUCCUCAAACCCCGACCUCGAGGCUCCGAGAGGCCCCUGGCUCAGGGUCACCCAAGGGCAGGUGACAAGGACAUCGCACCCACUCGGGGUGACUCCUUUCCACAGAGCCACUCUGUUCAAACCAACACCGGGCGAUUGCAUUAUGGGUAAUUUUGUUUCUUUUUUUUUUUUAAAUUAAAAACAUCUCCCCCUUGGAAUGGAUUAGUUGCAUUUUAAAAAGGAAGUAACCAAUCAAAACAUUUACCAGUGACACCGUGGAUUGUCUGGAAUUUGAUUUAAAUGUAUCCAGUUUGGGGGCAGGAGCAGAAAUAAAAUAAAAUUGUCCAUAAAUGGAUCAUUCUUGAAAUGAG